rnacentral:rRNA from 1 species
UACGUAGGGGGCAAGCGUUGUCCGGAUUUAUUGGGCGUAAAGAGCGUGUAGGCGGUUUGGUAGGUCCGCUGUGAAAACUCGAGGCUCAACCUCGAGACGCCGGUGGAAACCAUCAGACUAGGGUCCGGAAGAGGAGAGUGGAAUUCCUGGUGUAGCGGUGAAAUGCGCAGAUAUCGGGAAGAACACCCGUGGCGAAGGCGGCUCUCUGGGACGGUACUGACGCUGAGACGCGAAAGCGUGGGGAGCGAACAGG